ACCUCGGAGAGCCGCAUGCCGGCGCCGGGCACCUGCCGGACGCCUGGCCUGAGACAAGGGGUCCGCAGCACCAUCGUUUCUUCCUGGCUUACACAUCCCGUCGUUGUCUACGAAACUGCCCGUCGGGGGGACAAAAACACCGAGGACGAGUUUUGUUUAGAGAAAGCACGAAAAGUAGCUGUGAAGGCGGCAGAUGCUCACCGUUUGACAGCAGAGGAGAGGAACCAAGUUAUCCUUGACCUGAAAGCAGCAGGAUGGUCGGAAUUACAGGAGAGAGAUGCCAUCUACAAAGAGUUUUCCUUCAAAAAUUUUAAUCAGGCAUUUGGCUUUAUGUCCCGAGUCGCCCUGCAAGCAGAGAAGAUGAAUCAUCACCCGGAAUGGUUCAAUGUGUACAACAAGGUGCAGAUAACCCUAACGUCACACGACUGUGGUGGACUGACCAAGAGAGAUGUGAAACUGGCCAAGUUUAUGGAAAAAGCAGCUGCUUCUGUGUGAUUUCUUCCAAAAUGCGUGCCAAACCCAGUGCACAUCUUAGCCGUCAUGUAUGUGGAAGGCAGUUUACGUGAACAAAUUCAGUUGUCAAUUUAAGCUCACCUUUUGAACAGUCUUUUGUACAAUCAGGGCUCAAUUACAAAAUGAUUUAAACUUGAGCCUGAGGAUUUUUCGUUAUUUCUAAUCAUAUACAUAAGACAGGAAGCAGCAGCUGUAUACUGUGUUUGGACACAAACCUGACUCCCAUUAAUGUCCUGCAGGACUAGUGUAAGUACGGAGCAGUCUACACGUUCUCUCCUCCAGUGCUCAAAAAUAGACUGGUUGAACUCUGUAACUGCAGUUUUGUGGAAUUUCCUGCAAAACACCAAGAGCUGUAAUAGGAUUUGUGUAUGACACGUGAGCUUUGUGUUUCAGUGCCAGUUCUUGGGACAAGUGAAGGAAUGACUCUUGGCCAGAAGACUUGUGUCACCAAGCUGCCAUGUCUGCUGACUGCUAACAUCCCCAGCUGUAUGCGGCUGGGGUGGCCGCACCCACGUCGGGCACAGUUGGAGUUGCUGCUGAAAGGGUAGAGGAGGUGGCCCUUCGGCUGCUAUCCCAGGGUGCCUUUCGUGCCCACCUGUCCAUGAGGAAAUAUGGAUGAUUUCAGUAGGCCUUGGAGAAGCUUGUCACCUCUGAUUGUGCUCACCAGCUGGAGUUCCAUUCCCAGACUAGCUGUGUUCAUCAGUGACUUCAGAAACCACAGUCAGCUGUGCUUAACUGUGCUGAUGGGUAGUCUAACAACGACUGGACUUCUCUCUACUGCUUCCAGCUGGCCGGCCAUCUUCCCUCACCCCUCCAAGCAUCGUGAAGGAAUUCUUUACAUCCUUAAUCUCCUCUCCAUUUCUCACCCAAAGUGUGCUUUGAUGCUUCAAGAGGGAAGGCAUGGAAGUAUACCAUUGGGGUUCCUGGAGACGGACUCCCACCAUGCUCAGCUGCGUGGGCUUUUUGUUCGUAUAUUCCUACAGCAGACACCUACCAAGGGCCUUCUGUGGCCCCUAGCUUGAGUAGACACGUUGAUGUUUUGGGGCAGGUGGAAACAGAUUCAGGUGGAGAACUAAUUCAGGCUUUCUCCCAGCAGCUGCUCCAGGAGGCUGUUGUGGGGAUGUUGGGCAUGAGCCCAGAAGGCAUCAGGGACCAUAUGACCAAAGGAGGCAGUAGGAGAUAUAGGAGGAGCUGAUCCCUGAGGGAGAGAAUGUAGAGUGGGAAGAUGAGGCUAAAGUUUGAAUCUUGAAGACAUUAAUCAAAGUGAUUCUUAAAGCUUCACUGUUGGUGAUUUUAAAUGCAGAGAUGGAAUAAACAGGAUGUUAUUUCCCAGGUCAGUGUAUUGGUUGCCUACAAGAGUGUUUUCCUACCAGGAAUAGUCAUGUACACUUGUUUUAGAAUGCCUGGGAUUACAGAGCUAUUGCGGUGAAUACUUGGUUUUCUUAUGGCUCAAAAAUUUGUGUUUCCAGGAAUGUGACCAGUUUAGCCACUAAAGGUUUAGUACAACAGAGGGCUACCCAGAUCCCUCUGUCUUGAUUUGCCUUGGAAGCGAAAGGGAUUAGGAGAAGGAACGCAAGGAGAAUAUAUUAAUCCCAAGAAUUGAACAGAGCAAAAACCCUGUGGCUCUUGUACUUAAAAGAUCUCAGCCCCACAGGCUCAUCCACUACGCUCUAUUUAGGAGGGUCAUAUGUGCACAUUACAGGCUCUUCAUAAGCUAGUGCUGGGCAUGGCUGACCUCUGUUCCUCCUUUUUCUUGUGUUCUGGCCCCAAACACACCAAAAUCUUUUCUGGUCCAUCCUGAUGUUUCCAGUCACGUCCCCUGGAUGUAUGUUCUUGGCUCUUAGAACCCCAGAGAAGUUUGCUUUUCCCCCUUAAAUGGCCCUUAACUUAGUCUGACACAUUGUUAAGGGACUUUUGUCUAUCAGAUGUAGACACUUCUCUUUUUUCAAGAUUUUAUUUAUUUAUUUGAGUGAGAGAGAGAAUGAGCAGUGGGGAGGGGCAGAGGGAGAGGGAGAGAAGUAGACUCCUACUAGGCAGGAAUCCCAAUGCGGGGCUCGAUCCCAGGACCUGGAGAUUAUGACCUGAGCCGAAGGCAGACCCCUACGUGACUGAGCCGCCCAGGCGCCCUCAGAUGUGGAUACUUCUUGAGAAAGGAAGGGCUUUUGUCUGCUCUAGCUCUGGUAACUCCCAGAAUUAGCCUGGAGCUUCACAGUUCCUGUGUACUUGUAUCCCUUUCACUGAACUGAGGUGUUGAGUCUCCCUGGGAAGACAGGCUCUCGGCGUAGAUCAGCUAGGGAGUAUUUGACUCUGGGGGACUGCAGGCUAGUAAUGUGCUAGAAUGCCCAAGAAUGACGUCAUAAAGCAUGAGUUCCUUUUGUGGGCCCUGGUCUGUGGCCUCUUGGAAUCUAGAUGCCAAGGAAAUCCCUAAGCAGAGAUUUUCUGUUGAAUGAUCAAAGCAAGGAAUAAAAAUAGAAAAUUUGGAAAAUGUCUCAACAGUUUCAUUUUCAGAAUGAUACCAGAGUCAUUUCUAGCUCGCUGUUGGAUAAUCCUUCAGUGGCGUUCUGUGCGAGAUUCGGGAAAUUUCAGUAAAUAUUCUUUAUUUCUACUGCUUGUUAAGAAAUGUGCAAAUGGCAGCUUGGGGGCAGGGUGCCGGUGUGCUCUUCUUGAUGCACGCACUUGUGCACGCACUUGUGCUCUGCCCAAAACGAGGUGCGUGCCCUUGACCAUCUGCCUUCUCUCCCUGGUGAGGUUGGUGAAGGCUCAGCCAAACAUUUUGCUUUUUUGGCUUUAAUAUCAUUUUUUGGCUAGUUAAAUCAGCAUUCAGUCACCUCAUACUUGACCCAUACACUGAAUUUGACUCUGUUUAGUCCUUUUAUCUUUUUGUCCUUUCUACUUUGCUUUUAUUAGCUACCGUGUUAGAAAAUUUGAAGGUUUUUUGGAGGUAAUAGACCUGAUCUCAAAACAGACAAUGAAAAUUAUACAUCUUGUUUUUAUAGAUUAUAAAAGUAUAUGCAUUCUGUAUUUAUUUCCUGUUAGGAGAGUGUGUUCAUUUGUUACAUAUAAUGGGGAAAAUAAUACAUACUUUUUGAGAAAAAUUGGAAAGCAUAGAUAAAUAUAAUAACCAAGAAAAAGAAUUACUGUAAUAAUACUGAGUAGAGAAUUUUGUACCUUGUUUUGUUUUUGUCUUUAGCUAUCCAGUGGAUCAUAAACAUUUGUUUAAACCAUGAAAAAGAUGCAUCGGCAUAUUUUAGUAUCUAUAUAAUAUUCCAUGAGAUGGAUAUGCCGUCAUGGACUUCACCAGUCUUUCUUGUUAGACUUUUGAACUGCUUGCAAGUUCUUACUACUGUACGUAACACUGGGAUGAACAUAUUUGGCCAUGGCCAGUUCAUUCCAGAUUGCAUGCUCUUGGGGUAGGUUCCUUGGAUCAGAGGUUACAAAUAGUUCUAUGGCUUUUCGGAGGAGUUGGCCAAUUUACACGCCCCCUGGCAGUUUAUGAGAAUGCCUCAUCACACCACACUACUGUCAGCAUUACAUAGUAUUACAUUUAAGUCUGCUAAUUUUAUAAGCAAAAAUAAUGGUUGUACCUAAUUUGCAUCUCCAUCCCCAUUAAUAAUGCUACUGAACAUUUUGGGGGAGGUUCAUUUCCAUUUGUAUUUAUUUCAUGUACUGAUUGUGUGUUUACUCAUUUUUUCUUAGGGUAUUCAGUUUUUUUUUUUUUUAAUCAUUGUGAACACUUGUAUGGGUGAUGAUUUGAUUAUUACCGUUUUUUCCUACUAGACUGACAAUAUUUAGUUUUGUUCUCCUUAUAUCCACGAUGUCUGCUGUCUGCUGUCUUGCCUGCUGUUAGUAAUCACUCAGUAAAAAUUUACUGAAGGAGUAAA